rnacentral:rRNA from 1 species
UCCGUAGGUGAACCUGCGGAAGGAUCAUUAUUGAUUGUAAACUGUUGCCUUCUGUGCUGGCUCGCUCUUGCAAGCAAGUGCACGUCGGUGACUUUCAUUCCAACACCCUUGUGAACCUUUGGCCUCUUGCUAGCUUCACGGCCGGCAGAGGAUUUCUACAUACACACUCGAAUGUAAUGAAACUCUUGUUGUGCACAAGCACUACUAAUACAACUUUCAACAACGGAUCUCUUGGCUCUCGCAUCGAUGAAGAACGCAGCGAAAUGCGAUAAGUAAUGUGAAUUGCAGAAUUCAGUGAAUCAUCGAAUCUUUGAACGCACCUUGCACCCUUUGGCAUUCUGAAGGGUAUGCUCGUUUGAGUGUCAUUGUACUCUCACACUUCCGAUCUUUGUAUUGGGAGUGGUGGACUUGGGUUUUGCUGCUUCACCGCGGCUUACCUCAAAUACGGUAGUGCAACUCUUGGUUGGACAUAAUACGGCGUGAUAAGUGGUUCUUCGCCGGUGCCUCGCAAAGAGGGUGGCCGAUCGGGAGGUUGUGCUCCAAACCGUCUUCGGACAAUCUCUGACAACUUGACCUCAAAUCGAGUAGGACUACCCGCUGAACUUAAGCAUAUCAAUAAGCGGAGGGA